UACGGGGGGGGCAAGCGUUGUUCGGAAUUACUGGGCGUAAAGGGCUCGUAGGCGGCCAACUAAGUCGGAUGUGAAAUCCCCAAGCUUAACUUGGGAACUGCAUCCGAUACUGGAUGGCUUGAAUCCGGGAGAGGGAUGCAGAAUUCCUGGUGUAGCGGUGAAAUGCGCAGAUAUCAGGAAGAACACCAACGGCGAAGGCAGCUCGCUAGGACGGUACUGACGCUGAGACGCGAAAGCGUGGGGAGCGAACAGG
rnacentral:rRNA from 1 species